rnacentral:rRNA from 1 species
UUAUCUUAUGGAAGGAUCAUUC